UUGGCUUAGAAGCAGCCAUCUUUUAAAGAUAGCGUAACAGCUCACUGGUCUAAUUAAGUUGUCCUGCGGCGAAGAUGUAACGGGGCUCAAGCCAUGAGCCGAAACUUCGGAUGCAUUUAAUGCAUGGUAGCGGAGCGUAGUGUGACAUAGUUCCAUGCGUCCUUCGUUUUAUAGCGGACUGCCCAGGCUUUCGAGCCUGUGUGGAGGCGCGUAAAAUACUGGACGCAAGGAGCUUUCUGUGAAGCCGGCCUGUGAGGGAUCCGGUGGAGAGAUCACUAGUGAGAAUGAUGACAUGAGUAACGACAAAGGGGGUGAGAGACCCCCUCGCCGAAAAUCCAAGGGUUCCUGCUUAAAGCUAAUCUGAGCAGGGUAAGCCGGCCCCUAAGCCGAGGGCGAAAGCCGUAGGCGAUGGGAACCAGGUUAAUAUUCCUGGGCCAGGAGGAAGUGACGGAUCACAAAGAUUGUUGGAUCAGGCGUAGUUGCCCCAGCAGUUCAGUGGUUCCUGGAAAUAGCCCUCCAUCAGACCGUACCCUAAACCGACACAGGUGGAUAGGUAGAGUAUACCAAGGCGCUUGAGAGAACUAUGUUGAAGGAACUCGGCAAAAUACCUCCGUAAGUUCGCGAGAAGGAGGCCCGGUUUCUAGGCAACUGGAAGCUGGGGGCACAAACCAGGGGGUGGCGACUGUUUACUAAAAACACAGGGCUCUGCGAAGUCGCAAGACGACGUAUAGGGUCUGACGCCUGCCCGGUGCCUGAAGGUUAAAAGGAGGGGUGAGAGCUCCGAAUUGAAGCCCAGGUAAACGGCGGCCGUAACUAUAACGGUCCUAAGGUAGCGAAAUUCCUUGUCGGGUAAGUUCCGACCUGCACGAAUGGCGUAACGACUUCCCCGCUGUCUCCAACAUAGACUCAGUGAAAUUGAAUUGCCUGUCAAGAUGCAGGCUUCCCGCGGUUAGACGGAAAGACCCCGUGCACCUUUACUACAACUUUACACUGAUAACAGGCACAACAUGUGCAGAAUAGGUGGUAGGCUUUGAAGCAGAAACGCCAGUUUUUGUGGAGCCUCCUUUGAGAUACCACCCUUGUUUUGCUUGUUAUCUAACUGCGGUCCGUUAUCCGGAUCCAGGACCCUGUAUGGUGGGUAGUUUGACUGGGGCGGUCGCCUCCUAAAGCGUAACGGAGGCGCGCGAAGGUUGGCUCAGAGCGGUCGGAAAUCGCUCGUUGAGUGCAAUGGCAGAAGCCAGCCUGACUGCGAGACUGACAAGUCGAGCAGAGUCGAAAGACGGCCAUAGUGAUCCGGUGGUCCCGAGUGGAAGGGCCAUCGCUCAACGGAUAAAAGGUACGCCGGGGAUAACAGGCUGAUACUGCCCAAGAGUCCAUAUCGACGGCAGUGUUUGGCACCUCGAUGUCGGCUCAUCUCAUCCUGGGGCUGGAGCAGGUCCCAAGGGUAUGGCUGUUCGCCAUUUAAAGAGGUACGUGAGCUGGGUUUAGAACGUCGUGAGACAGUUCGGUCCCUAUCUGCCGUGGGUGUAGGAUACUUGAGAGGAGUUGCCCCUAGUACGAGAGGACCGGGGUGAACGAUCCACUGGUGGACCAGUUGUCGACUACGGCAGUGCUGGGUAGCUAUGAUCGGACAGGAUAACCGCUGAAAGCAUCUAAGCGGGAAGCCCCCCUCAAAACAAGGUAUCCCUGAGGACCGAGGUAGACCACCUCGUCGAUAGGCCAGAGGUGUAAGCGUGGUAACACGUUCAGCUGACUGGUACUAAUGGUCCGAUAGGCUUGAUU
rnacentral:rRNA from 1 species